GACUUAAAAUCCGUCGA
rnacentral:tRNA from 7 species